UGGGGAAUAUUGCACAAUGGAGGAAACUCUGAUGCAGCGACGCCGCGUGGAGGAAGAAGGUCUUCGGAUUGUAAACUCCUGUCUUUGGGGACGAUAAUGACGGUACCCAAGGAGGAAGCACCGGCUAACUACGUGCCAGCAGCCGCGGUAAAACGUAGGGUGCAAGCGUUGUCCGGAAUUACUGGGUGUAAAGGGAGCGCAGGCGGAAGGGCAAGUUGGGAGUGAAAACUAUGGGCUUAACUCAUAGAUUGCUUUCAAAACUGCUUUUCUUGAGUGGUGUAGAGGUAGGCGGAAUUCCCGGUGUAGCGGUGGAAUGCGUAGAUAUCGGGAGGAACACCAGUGGCGAAGGCGGCCUACUGGGCACUAACUGACGCUGAGGCUCGAAAGUAUGGGUAGCAAA
rnacentral:rRNA from 1 species